GAAAUGCGAUAAGUAAUGUGAAUUGCAGAGUUUUGUGAAUCAUCGAGUUUUUGAACGCACAUUGCGCCCCUCGGUAUUCCGACGGGCAUGCCUGUCCGAGCGUCGUUUCGCAAACCAUCGAGUCUCAUCUCGGUCUUGGGCCCCGUCCCGCGCGCCGGGACGCGCCCCAAAGCCCUCGGCGGCCCCCGCUGCGUCCGUCGGAGCGUCUUCGAAUGCAACCGCUCCGCGGGCCCCGGGUGCCCGCCCCACGCACACACACAGAGGUUUGACCUCGGAUCAGGCAGGGCUACCCGCUGAACUUAAGC
rnacentral:misc_RNA from 1 species